rnacentral:misc_RNA from 1 species
GUUUCGGCCUCCCAGUCUAGCGUGGCACAAGUGGGCGUGUCAACGACAACUCGGACAAGACCAUGUCCACACAUGAGCAGUCACGGAUUGGUGUGUCCCGCGGGCUCCUUGCCUCUCGCAAUCAACCACCGAAGAGGCCAUGCUUCUUAGUCCUGUGCUUAUUCGUAUCUUUAGGCUAUCCUUUUUAGUCAUGUGCAUCGCGUGUGCCAUCUACCCAGCUCUGCAGGAAAUCAACAUACCCCAUGUGCCAGUUCGCCUCACCACCUCGAGCGGGAGGCACAACCACAAUGUGGUCGUCGCGCGCACCUUAACGACACAACCCUUUGGCCCCGUGCUAGCUGGGCUCCAGAAGUAUCACAAGCUCUCGCGAAUGCAGCAGGCUUCGAGGACUUCGGCCCUCGGCCUAGACCUUGGUAGGUCAUUAAGCCACCCUCGUCGAGACAACAGUCGAUCACAACGGUCGAUCCACCGAUAGGCCCCCUCCGCUCCCUGCAGGCGGUCGGGCGCCUUAACAGCAUCGGCAUCGCAAAGGACAUGCCUACCCGGUUG